rnacentral:rRNA from 1 species
GACGAACGCUGGCGGCGUGCUUAACACAUGCAAGUCGAACGGAAAGGCCCUGCGUUUGUGGGGUGCUCGAUUGGCGAACGGGGGAGUAACACGUGAGUAACAUGCCCUUGACUUUGGGGUAACUUCAGGAAACUGGGGCUAAUACCGGAUAUGAUCUCCUGCUGCAUGGGGGGGGUUGGAAAGUGUCGGCGGUUGGGGCUGGACUCGCGGCUUAUCAGCUGGUUGGUGGGGUAGUGGCUUACCAAGGCUUUGACGGGUAGCCGGCCUGAGAGGGUGACCGGCCACAUUGGGACUGAGAUACGGCCCAGACUCCUACGGGAGGCAGCAGUGGGGAAUAUUGCACAAUGGGCGGAAGCCUGAUGCAGCAACGCCGCGUGCGGGAUGACGGCCUUUGGGUUGUAAACCGCUUUCGCCUGUGACGAAGCGUGAGUGACGGUAAUGGGUAAAGAAGCACCGGCUAACUACGUG